GAAAACCCAACCUAGUGGGCUGUGAGUGUGGCUGCGUUCCAUUCCACUUGUGGUCAGGGCUGACACAGCUGGCUCUGCGGCCACUUAGGAACAGAGAGGCAUGGACAGUUUUAGUCUGUGGGCCUGGCCUCAGUACUGGAUAACUGAAGAGAAAUGCUCCUAACUCUGAUGAAUGUCAAGUAACGGGGCUGCACUGUUCACACUGGCUCAGGGGCUUGUCUGUUCUGCCCUCCGUCGUCCUUAAAUGAACUCCUGUGACUAAUUCCUAUCAGUUUGGUGCUAGGAAACAGAAAGAAGAUUCAAGGAGCUCCAAGGAGUCUAAUUCUUGGUUGCUAGGAGCCUUCAACACUGUCUGGAUGCCAAGGACAUCUGCUAGUCCCAGGAGUGGCUUAGAUACAUUGCCCUUGGAAAGCAGCACCUGUGUCCCUAAGGUUCCCCGUUUAUGGUCAAGCCACUGAGCUGGGAAGUGAAAAGUCUUAGCACCUGACAGGAUGCCUGUGACAAGGACAGAACAGAAUCACUCAGGGUGAAGAACCAGCUCUCUGUAGCGGUUGAUCACAGAGUCACCCUGAUUUUGCAAGGAAUGCAAGAUCUCCACCUUUCACUUCCAGACUGGUCUCCCCAGGCCUUACCCCCAAAAGGAAACCCAGAGUGUCCUAAAACAUAGUGCUUUACUGACUGAAUGGCAACAGCUCUGUGAGCUACAAAGUAGAUGUGAGGGCUGGACUUGGUAAAUAGGUGACCUUGGGGAUGGAGGCUAUGACCUUGAACUAUGACCUUGGGGAUGGAGGCCCUAGUAGAGCAACUUGAGGAGCAGAACUUGGACUCUGACUCCACAGAGUGCUAACCCAGCCUCGCAUUAUCUUUCUCUACACUUCCAGGUCACCUGACCUCUCCGAGACUCAGCUUCCGCAAGCGGAAUUUAAGGACAAUUUCUGACCCAUAGAUGGUUGUUAGGGUGACCGUGAUACUAAGCAUCAUUACUUAUAAUAGCAAGACACGGAACCAUUGACAGACAACUGGAGAAUAGACACUCAAUGGAAUACUACUCAGUUAUUAAGGAAGAUGAAAUAGUGCCUUUGGGAACAAAAUGGAUGGAUCUUCAGGUGAUUAUGCUACGUGAACUAAGCCAGAACUGAAAGACAUUUACUGGAAUAUGAAUAACCAAAGAGAACAAACAGGUAAAACAACAAGAAUAAUUCCUAGACCAUGAAUAACAUACUGGUUCCAGAAGGAGCUGGUGGGGGAAGAUCAGAGGCUAGGGGAGGGAAGGUAGUAACUCAAUGAAACUUUAAAAAAGGAACUGCAUUAGAUAAAUGGUAUUAUCAAUAAUGUCAUUUAAAUUGUUCCCAUGAUUUGUGGAAAACAAGAAUAAAAAUUGACCUUGGGGACUGUCAAUAAAAUUUUAAGAUC